rnacentral:misc_RNA from 1 species
AUGAAUUUUGAAAGGGGUUGUAGCUGGCCUUUUAGGAGGCAUGUGCACACCCUGCUCUUCCAUUCUUACACCUGUGCACAUUCUGUAGGUCGGUUUGAGCGGCUCUCUCUCACGGGGGAUGCUGUUUGGCCUUCCUAUGUUUUAUAACAAACUCUGUAAUGUCAUAGAAUGUCAUCGCGUAUAACGCAUUAUAAUA